rnacentral:rRNA from 1 species
UACGUAGGGGGCUAGCGUUGUCCGGAAUCAUUGGGCGUAAAGCGUGCGCAGGUCGGUUUGUAAGUCUGUCGUGAAAUCCCCGGGCUCAACCUGGGAAUUGCGAUGGAGACUGCAAGGCUAGAAUCUGGCAGAGGGGGGUAGAAUUCCACGUGUAGCAGUGAAAUGCGUAGAUAUGCGGAGGAACACCGAUGGCGAAGGCAAUCCCCUGGGCCUGCACUGACGCUCAUGCACGAAAGCGUGGGAGCAAACAGG